rnacentral:rRNA from 1 species
UACAGAGGGUGCGAGCGUUGUUCGGAAUUAUUGGGCGUAAAGCGCUUGUAGGCGGCACGUCAAGUCGCGUGUGAAAUCCCCAGGCUUAACCUGGGAAGUGCGCGCGAAACUGACGAGCUUGAGUGCCGGAGAGGGUCGCGGAAUUCCCGGUGUAGAGGUGAAAUUCGUAGAUAUCGGGAGAAACACCAGUGGCGAAGGCGGCGACCUGGACGGACACUGACGCUGAGACGCGAAAGCGUGGGGAGCAAACAGG